AUUAUUUAGUCUAUUACAAGUAGGAACAAGUAGAACAGCCGAGCUAGAGAAGAAUGCAGGUGGCCAGGCACAAUGGCUCACGCCUGUAAUUCCAGCACUUUGGGAGGCCCAGGUGGGCAGAUCACCUGAGGUCAGGAGUUCGAGACCAGCCUUCUCAACAUGGCAAAACCCCACUCUACAAAAAACACAAAAAUUACCCAGGUGUGGUGGCACACACCUGUAAUUCCAGCUACUCGGGAGGCUGAAGCAGGAGAAUCAAUAGAACCCAGGGGUGGGAGGUUGCAGUGAGCCAAGAUCGCACCCCUGCACUCCACCCUGGGUGACAGAAUGAGACUCCAUCUAAAAAAAAAAAAAAAAAAAAAAAAAACAAAAACGCCAGGCGCGAUGGGUCAUGCCUGUAAUCCAAGCACUUUGGGAGGCCAAGGUGGGUGGAUCACCUGGGGUCAGGAGUUCGAGACCAGCCUGGCCAACAUGGUGAAACCACGUCUCUACCAAAAACACAAAAAAUUAGCCAGCCAUGGUUGUGGGUGCCUGUAAUCCCAGCUAUUCCGGAGGCUGAGGCAGGAGAAUUGCUUGAACCCAGGAGGCAGAGGUUGCAGUGAGCCAAGAUCACACCACUGCACUCCAGCCUGGGCAAGAGGAGCAAAACUUAGUCUUGGAGGGAAAAAAAACAGAAAGAAA
rnacentral:lncRNA from 1 species